rnacentral:rRNA from 1 species
GAGUUUGAUCAUGGCUCAGAUUGAACGCUGGCGGCAUGCCUUACACAUGCAAGUCGAACGGGCAGCACGGGAGCGUUGCGUCCUGGGUGGCGAGUGGCGAACGGGUGAGUAAUGGCAUCGGAACGUAUCCUGGAGUGGGGGAUAACGUAGCGAAAGUUACGCUAAUACCGCGAUAUUCUGUGAGCAGGAAAGCGGGGGACCUUCGGGCCUCGCGCUCUUGGAGCGGCCGAUGGUCGGAUUAGCUAGUUGGUGAGGUAAAGGCUCACCAAGGCGACGAUCCGUAGCAGGUCUGAGAGGAUGAUCUGCCACACUGGAACU